UUUAAAAAAUACCAAAACUAUAUCGGCACGGCACGAUACGGUACCAAAACCGUAUCGUUCCGGUCCCGGACCGAAACCUCGGCACGGGUCGAAAUUUUAAACCUUGCUUGUGAGGAUUAGAAAAAGAGAUUAGUCUAACAUCCAUUUUAUGAUCCGUUAAUAUUGAAAGCAAUCAAGUACAAAUUGAUAUUACUUCAAGAGAUGAGAAAAUAAUAAUGUUUUGACAUCUACUUGGAAUAAAGACCAAUGAAUCAAUUGUGUGUGAUAACAAUGGCAAAUUGAGAUUAGAGUUCCAACUUUACUUUGAAACAAGAGAAAAUGCUAUCUAGGAAUUGAGUUUGUGAGCAUUUCCCUGUGAAGGAAAAGUGUCUAGUAAAUUGAAAUUUUAACAUUGACUUUCAGAAGAGAAGGUUGUUGGAAUAACAAACAAUAACUAAAAUUAAGAGUGUCCCCUAGUUUACAAUCAAGGGAAUACACCUUCUUGCAUGUCCCUGUAACUUAACAUGGCGAGAUGCCAUAGUUUGGUGAAGGAGACCAUGACAUGGAUUAAAAUCUCGAGACAUGCCGGUCAACACCAUCAAGAUUUAUCAUUUCGCACUAAUACCAAGAUGCACACAAUGUCAAUAUCAACACAAACAUUGAUAACAACAACGUGGUGAGAAUGACACUAUUGUUGAAGGAGAAAUUAACUUGCAAGAGAUGAGAGGGAGAGUGAGAGCAAGAUCACAAAUGGAAGAGAGGAUGACCUACUAGAGAUAGAGAAUGAAGGAGCUAACCCACUAAAGGCUUGAUCUAGUGCUUCAACUUCACGAUUAGAUCAAUGGUGAUGCCAGGUGUGAGGGAGUGAGAGAGCAAAUAUUCGAGAGAGAGAAUAGUAAGGCGGAGGGAUCAAGUGGGAGGAAGGAGAGUACAAUGAGCGAGAGAGAAAAAAAUUUCAUCUAAAACUUGGCCACUUGAACUAGACAACACCUCUAAAUUCAGUUUGAAAUAAAAUAAGUUUGGUUCAACCUUAAACGAUCAAAUCGAGCACGAAUUAAACCAAAUUUAAACCCGCUCGACCAAGAUGAUAAACCCUACCAAAGGACUCCAUCACACUCCAAUUACACUUUGAUUGGGUUUCUAAAUCUAAAACUCUGGUUGGUUAAUCUUAAAUAACCAAUAAAAUUCAAAAUUAAAUAGUAGCAAAAACUUUAAUUGAAAGCAAGACUUAAUAUAUAACAAACGUUGGGAUUUUGUAUACAUUCAAGUAGUGAUUCUUGUAUUGAAUUUUUUUUUAGCUUAAUUAAAGGUUCAAUAGGGAUAUAUAUAUAUAUAUAUUUUCAAGAGUGUUACUAACUAUAGGUUAUGCUCAAUGAAAUGAAAUGAGUGUGAUGUUCCCAACAGAAAUAUUUUAUUUUUAGAACAAGCAAUGUAAAUUGCAUAGAUUUUGCUUUGAGUUAUCUUUUUCUAUUUUGAAUGUUAUAAUAAUUGACUACAUGCCUUAGUGAAGUUUGAACUAAGAAUUUAAUUAUUUUUUAGUAAAUGAAGCCUUUACACAAUUAAUGUAUCCAAGACGACAUUGUAUCCUACUAACAAUAUAGUUUCUUUAAUUUAGCUUUAUUUUGAUAUUAAAAAUCUGGAAAAGUUAAAUAGAUAUCAAUCUUUGUAUCUUGUCAAAUAGUAAUAAGGACUUGGGUAACAACGUUUAAUAGAGCAAGUGACAAUAUAUUUUUGACAUUAACUAAAAAAGGGAAUUUUGACGCAAUGGUAAAGUUGUUGUUGUAUGACUUAAUGGUCAUGGGUUCGAGUCGCAAAAACAAUCUCUUGUAAUGUAUUGCAAAGGUAAAGUUGCAUACAAUAGACUUAAUGCGGUCCGAUUUUUCCCCGAGACCCGCAUUAGCAGAAGUUUCAUGCACCAGAUUACCCUUUAACUUUGCAAAGGAAAAAUAAAAAAUUGUUAUACUUUACUCUUGUAGAUGAAAAUGACUACGAAAAAAAUUUUAGUCUCAUUUUAAUUAUUCUCAGCUUAUAAAAAUAAUAUUGCUUCUAUUGCUAUUGCAAGUAUUAAUUUAGAUGAACAAACAUUUAUACACACUUGGUUUCCGGAUGUAGAAUACAUAUUGCAUACACAGUAAAACUCUUUCUUUAGUUAGUGAUUUCCUACUUCGUACAAGGGAAACAAAUUGAAACAAUUUUUGGUAUUAUUUUUAUCAAAGAAAGAAAACAAGUAGAAUGAAAGUUAAAAAUUUAUAGCUUGUUUGUCGAAAUCAGAAGAUGAUAUGAGAUAUAUAUCAUAUAAACUCUGAGCAAGGUGGUUGAGAUUCUUAUAAUAAUUUCUAACUUAUUGCUUUCAAAUACUAAUGAGAAUUAUUUGAAAGUAAAUACUUACUAACACCAUAUUGGCAUAGUAUUUAUUAUACAACACUGUUUAGAGACUUAAACUCAACACAACUCACCUUGGACUAGAAUGAUAUUAGAGUUAGAAGGGGAUUCUUUUGCACUAACACAAAGGAUUUGGGUAAAGAUCAUAUAAGAAUCAAAUUUGGCAUCACUUGUCGUUCGCUUUGCAUGAUAGUGGGUGGAGUGUAGAAAUGAUUGGGGUGAGGAGGGCACUCACAUAAUAGGACACUUCAUUGGUGUUGAGGUGAGUUUUCCCUGCAUUGGUGUUAAAGGCUUUGGAUAGAGCACGUGACUAUCACUACAUGAGAUGAUGAGCAUCAUUUCCUUAGAUUUAAUUAAUCUUUUUUUUUCUCCCAAUGCAACAACCUUUUUGUUGGUACAAUCAGCCUUCAGGAUUUUAAAUAUUUGUUUGAACAAUAUGUUUAAGGGAAUUUGGUCAAGAGCGGCCAAAUAACUUAAUCAAGGUUGAUCAAGUUGAGUGUAAAGUCCAAGCAAAGUCAAGAUUGACUUGAAGCCUUGAAGUGAGUGAGAAGUUCAAGUAGGACUAGAUACUUGGCAGGAUGAUGGAAAGACCUAGUGGGACAAGGUAGUGCAAGUCCUAGUGGGACUAGGCAAAGGGAAGACCUAGUUGGGAACCAUAUAGCAAUUGAAGACCUAGUUGGAAACUAGGUUAAGUUAAAGGUGGUUCAGUUGGGAGCUGAACACUUGGCAAAGAGAGAAGUCUUGGAGGAGUAAAAUGAACCUUGUAGAUUAGGUAAACCAAGUACUGGGUUUUGCAUCUUUUGCUUGUUGUUUGCUGGUUUGUUUUUGCAUGAAACAACAGCUGGACGAAGGCUCGAGCGGGACAAUUUGGGAAUUGGUCUCGGUGAUCGGACCCUUUCGGUCAACCAGAAGUCAACGUGAUCAGGUUUGCGCGAGUCGGUCCUCGGAUAAAUUUUGACUAAGCUCCAGUCGAUCGGAGGGUGUUCCUCUAUAAAAGGGAAGUCGAGUGCUGCAGGUUCUACCUGUUGAUCUAUGAAGAUCUAGGAUGAGCGCCUUCGCACUUAGGAUUUUCGAACCGGAGAUCGACGAGUUUGUUUUUCUUUUAUGCUUGUUAUUAUAUCAUCUAUUCAGUAUUUUUGUACUUGUGAUUUCCUUACAAAAUUUGUAAGAGGUUUUUAUGCCUCUGGUAGACUCUAGAAUGGAGAAAGACACUAGUGGACGAUCGCUUUGUGCAUGGCCUUGGACGUAGCACCUUGGGGGGUGUGAACCAAGUAAAUCUGGUGUUUUCUUUCUUAUUGUUUUUACUUUUAUUAUUCCGCUGUGCAAACUAACAACUCUGUAGAAAGAAUGAAGAAAAUUGAUUUCGCUAUUCACCCCAUCGACAAAAUCUAUCCUACACUUUUCACCUAGAAAUGGUAGGCAACAUCAAGAAAGGAUAUCUAAGAAGCCAAUAUAUGACCAAGAGGAGCUUUUGCAAUUAUAUAGUUUUAAUGAAAUCUAACUUGCUUGUUAUAACACUGAAUUGUAAUUGAGCAGAUUAAAGAGGACGCCCUAGAGUUGAGGGGAGUUUACGUCGAGCAGAUAAGUGACAUUGAAUGAUAAUGAUGAUGUAGUUCUAGGUUGAGUGCCAAAGUAGACAUUGGUGCAUUGGGCAUUGACAUCUUCUAUUUUGUGCAAUUGUUGAUAAAGAUGAUGAGUUUUAGACAUGAUACAUCAAUAAAGCUUUAUGCUUGAUGAUGGUCAAUGUUGUUAGAGGCGCGAGGCGCAUCGAGGCACAAAGGACUCCUAGAGCCCGAGGCGUAAUGCACGCCUAAGGCGCGCGUCUCUUGAACAUGAGGUUAAUUACUAAACUACUGACACACACAUAUAAUAUGUCAAAUAUGAUAACUAUUAAUAUUCCACACACACAAAUAUCAAACCACUAGCCAUAAAACAUAUAAUAUGACAAGCAAAACAACACCAUGAUAAAAUUUAUAAAAGUUUCAAAUUUUCAAGUUUCAACUUUCUAAUCUAAAUUAAGAAAGUUCAUCAAAACAAGCGUAAUAAGUCAAAUUAAUCAUCAAGCUCAAGAUCAUUCUCAUUGUAUUCUUCUUCUUCUUCUUUAUCUUCAUUUUCUUCAAAUUUAAUUUCUUCUCCUCCUCCAUCUCUAAGUCUUAGAGAUGAGUGUCUCAUAGAGGAAGAUAUAUUUCCCUUCUCGUUUUGUUUAUGUCUAGCAUGUGAACUAGAGGUCAUGGAUGCAAUGUUUUUUCCUCUAGUACAAUAUUCAGGCUCUUUAGCUUCACUAGCCCUAGCAACGACAUCCCAUGUCAAGUCAUCACCUUCAAAAACCAACUCAUCUUCUUCAUUAUCACUUUCUCCAUUCAUUCUACCCAUUAACCAUUCAUUACUGUCAUCAAUAUCUGUCAAAGAGAUGGGGUCAAUCUUAUCACGUGCAUCAUACCGAAGUUUUAAUGCACGAUUGUAUUUUACAAAUACCAAAUCAUUUAAACGCUGCUGAGCUAGCCUAUUCCUUUUUUUGCUGUGAAUCUACAAAAUGUUAAAAAUCACAAUAAGUAUAAUAAAAUAGCAAAGAAUAUUUCUACUUAUAAAAGUAACAUACUAAUAAUAUUAUACAUUUAUAUUUAUUACAUACCUGCUCAAAUACACUCUAAUUGCGUUCACAGCCGGAAGCACUACAAGUGAGGCUAAGCACUUUAAUAGCAAAUCUUUACAAUUCUCGGGUAUUUACUCUGUAGUUUUCCCAUCAUUCUGCUGGAGAUAAUGCUCUUCUACGUCUAAUUGCCACAUUCCUCCCAAAUAGCCCUUCUGUCUUUCGAUAUAUAGAGAACUGAGUAGUGAUUUUAUCUUGCUCAACAUCGCUUGAAACCAAUCUCUCCAUAGUUUCAAACAAACCAUUCAUCACUUCUCCACAGAUAUUUGAAUUUGUGUAUGAAUAAAAAUAUUCUGAUUCAAAUAAUGUCCUGCAGCAUACAAAGGCCGAUGAAGUUAACAUUUCCAUCUUUUAUUAAUGAUCUCAAACACUUCUUUGUAUUUCUCUUCUUUCUCCUUAAAAGUCUUCAUAAUUGUUUCUUUUGCCCUAUCCAUAGCCUCAUAAAUAUAGCCCAUUGUAGGUUUUCUUGCACCAUCAACCUGUCUCAGAACACGGACUAAAGGGACAUAUCUUUAAAAUAUGCACAACACUGCUCUAAAAUCUAAGUGUCAUGAUGAUUUUAGCUACCUUGUUCCCCGCCGCUUCUUUUACCCAUUUACUCUCUAUCUAAUCCUUUGAAAUGAACAUUUUUCUUAAAUUUUGCUUCUAUAAGUGCAUCCUUUCAAGAGUGAGAAAAGCAGUAGCAAAUCUUGUGACACCCGCCCGACAAAGCUCUUUGUCUUGUGAAUUGCCUCAACAUAUUUACCAUGUUUGGGCGAACAUAAAUGUAAGUAUUCACACUCAUUGCCUUCUUCAAUGUUGUUUUAAAAUUAGGCAAUUUCUCAAUAUCUUCUAAGAUCAAGUCGACGCAGUGAGCAGCACAAGGAGUCCAAUAUAGGUGUAGCCUUUUUUGCUUCUAAUAAUUUUCCUACAAAAGAAGUUAGAAAACUAGAUAAGUUUAACAUAAAUAAGAAAAAACAUAUUGAUAAGAAAGAAUUAAAUAGAUUCUUACCAGCAAGCACAUUGUUACUUGCACUAUCCGUAACAACUUGAACAACAUUUGCUUCUCCUACACGCUUCACAAAUCAAUCAAGCGAUUGAAAUAUUUUCUCUCCAAUCUUUGCAUAAUCAGAAGCAUGAACCGAUUCGAUGAAAACUAAACCUUUAGGUAAAUUCACUAAAAAAUUAAUCAAUGUCCUUUGCCUUUUGUCUGCCCACCCAUCUGCCAUCAAAUUACAACCAUACUUGGCUCAUUUUGUUUCACACGACUUAAUGUAAUCAUUUGUCACACUAUCAACAAUCUUUUUUAGAAAAGGAACCCGCACCUCAUGAUAACUAGGUCCUUUUAGACCUAUACCAAAUUGGCCAACCAAGUCCAACAUUCUUUUGAAGCUUGAAUAGUUAACGACAUUAAAAGGAAUUGCCGCAUCAUACAUCCACUUAGUUAUGGCCAUAUAAGUUUUUACCCUCAAUUCUUUCUUGUAUACCUCAUUUAUCAUAGUUUGCCUCUCUUUACCCUUUCUACUUUCAACAUUUUUUUUUUGUACAUUAGGAGCAAAAUACGUAUCCAUUUGACCUAUUUGUCUUGGCCUUUUUUUAUGUAUUCACUGUUCUAGAACUUGUACUUAAACUUAUAGGCGGCACAGAUUUAGCUCCAAUAUCAUCCAUAAUAUCAUCACCAAGAGGAUCUACAUCCUCAAAGUCCAAUGUUGCAAGUUUAGAAAGAUUACUUUUCUUCGUCUUUUUCUCCAUGAAAUUUUUUUAUUUCUUCACGUACAUGAGACGGGCAUUUUUUGCAAGUCGUAUUUCGAAACCCCCAACAAGAUGUUGUUUUACACGAUUGAUACCCCUUUUGUAAUUUUUUUGACAAAAGUUACAAAUCAAAUCAUUUUUGUUAUUCGGAUUAACUCUUUGAAAAUAAUUCAUGUCGGAUCUUUUGAUAUAUAUGUUGGAGUAUCACUACUACCUUCCAUGAUAAUUGAACAAGAAAAUAGUCUGAAAAAUCAAAAACAAAAUAAAAUCAACACUGUACCAGUAGGCAGCAAUAGAAAAAUAUUGUACCAGCAAUAGAAAAACACGACAAAAAUAAAAAGAAAAACAGGACAAAAAAAUGGAAAAACAGGACAAAAAAAAAAAGCAAAAUCGGACAGCAGCAAGAACACUAAACA